rnacentral:rRNA from 1 species
UACGAAGGGGGCUAGCGUUGCUCGGAUUUACUGGGCGUAAAGCGCACGUAGGCGGAUCUUUAAGUCAGAGGUGAAAUCCCAAGGCUCAACCUUGGAACUGCCUUUGAUACUGGGGAUCUUGAGUCCGGGAGAGGUGAGUGGAACUGCGAGUGUAGAGGUGAAAUUCGUAGAUAUUCGCAAGAACACCAGUGGCGAAGGCGGCUCACUGGCCCGGUACUGACGCUGAGGUGCGAAAGCGUGGGGAGCAAACAGG